rnacentral:lncRNA from 1 species
CUGAUAUACACUUGAGCUAGCUCUGGCACACUCAAAAUGAAAUUUUCAUAGUCCAAGAGCCAACCCCAGAAAAUCAUGAGUCGACUCCACUAGACAAGUCGAUCCCAUUAGAACAAAAGUUGAUUCCGAAAUGGUCUCAGGAUGCCAGAUAGAGAGCAACAAAAAAAGAUGUCAUGAACAUGAUUGACUCCAGAAAUUCAUGAGAUGACUCCAAUAGAUAAAUAACCCCACUUAAACAUGAGUCAAUUCUAAAAUGAUCUAAGGGUAC